CCCACCUUAUCUGUUCGGGCACCAACUCCCCUAUCUCCUGUGCACCUCCGUCCACUCCCCACGAGGCCACGACCACCAUCUUCUACCCCGCCGCCGCAUAACCUCCACCUCCCACCCCGGCACCACACGACCUCCUUCCCCACGCCGCCUCGCCUCCUCCUCCUCCCGGCUGGCGCCGCCCCGCCUCCUCCUCCUCCCGGCUAGCGCCGCCCCGCCUCCUCCUCCUCAUGACCGGUGCCUACCCGCCUCCUACUCCUCCCGUCCGGCGGCGCCCUGCCUCCUCCUCCUCCCAUCCGGAGCCGCCCUGCCUCCUGCUUCUCCCGUCCGGCAGUGCCCUGCCUCCUCCUCCUCCCGUCCGGAGCCGCCCCGUCUCCUACUCCACCCCUCUGGCGCCGCCCCGCAUCUCCCCCGCGCGCCUCUGACGUGCAACGCCGCGCAGCAACGGCCCCGGCCCCUCCCCGCUCCAGCCACGGCCACUGCCCCGCCAUCCGUGGUGCUCCGACGCCGCCCCACCUCAUCCAGCUCAGUCGCUACCCCUGUGCAGCUCGGUCGCGGCCCGCGUCUUCGUGCAGGUUUGUGGGCCACCACUUUCCUCUGCUGGCCUCCCUCAUCGUCAGACACAACGCCGCAACCUCCAACCUCGAGCGUCCUCUCCUCCCCAUUGAUUGGUUUUUUGCUUUUUCAGAAUUCACUUGGGCACAUUGAUGUAGUUCUGUUUGGGCACCAGUGCAGUGUGGAUGGAUGUCUAGUCACUCGGCGAAAGUUCUUGCAGCCGGUGGCACGAGGCUCGUGGUCCGAUGUGUAGUGCAGUGCAGUGUUAUUUGCCCUCCGCACUGAAGUUCGCCGGCAGAUGUGUUGACCCCCGCGGCGCCAUGCAAUCUAGUACGUGGGUGCACGCAGCACGCCCUACCGGCACCGUGCAGUCCAAAAGUGUCGGUGCAAGCAGCACGCCACCCAUUCCCAAGCCAAUCUCUCUUCCUCCCCACACACGUGCCAAACGCUCUCUCACACAACAAUGGCGGAUGAGAAGCUCGCCAAGCUGCGCGAGGUCUCAGUGUGGCAGGGCGACAGAUGCAGUGCGGCAGGGCGACGGAUGCAGUGCGGCAAGGCGACGGGUGUAGUGUGGCACUCACGGCAGCAGCGAACCCACUGAACCUAUCGAGUGGAUGAGAACGAUGAAUCGCUGCAGAAAAUGGAAGGUCCCAUCCAUCAGUUCUUGCAUCUUUGUGAUGUUUUUCUAGUGAUCUAGUCUAUGUAAUACUAGCAUCUGAAGAACUUUUGAAGCAGAAGGAACAACCUCUGAAAAUGCAAGUUCGGAGCUCUGAAUAUGUGUAGCAGUACAACAACCCUCCUUGGAUGUCCGGGCUCAGCAUGAAGCAGGUUAACAUGUAAACACGCAUGGUGUAGUCUUGUGCGACAACGCGUUCAAUUAAACAGCAAAAAACGACAUGCAGUUGGCCGGCCCAUGCAGUUUGGUGUGCGAGCAAAAACAUCAGCGUGGAGUUUAGUGUUUAAUGCCAUGGAGAUGGGGAAACAACAACAAAAAUGUGAACUCCGCCUCCGCGAUGCCUCGGCUCACACUGCCACUGGACCUAUUUUUACCAUCAGACUCACCGGGCCAUCGCCGACUCCCCAAGCAGUACACUUCCGUACUGUCAGCACCGGCUAGAGCAACGCUCCGAUUUUUUUCAUUCACUUUUUUUUACAUACUGAAGGACAUCUGUGUUAAUUGCAAAAGUUGCCCACUUUGGCAGAACAGCUGGAAAAAAGAAAACUACAAUGCAGUGCACUUCGAGGGA